CCUGAUCUAGCCAUGCCGCGUGAGUGAUGAAGGCCUUAGGGUCGUAAAGCUCUUUCGCCUGUGAUGAUAAUGACAGUAGCAGGUAAAGAAACCCCGGCUAACUCCGUGCCAGCAGCCGCGGUAAUACGGAGGGGGUUAGCGUUGUUCGGAAUUACUGGGCGUAAAGCGCACGUAGGCGGAUUGGAAAGUUGGGGGUGAAAUCCCGGGGCUCAACCCCGGAACUGCCUCCAAAACUAUCAGUCUAGAGUUCGAGAGAGGUGAGUGGAAUUCCAAGUGUAGAGGUGAAAUUCGUAGAUAUUUGGAGGAACACCAGUGGCGAAGGCGGCUCACUGGCUCGAUACUGACGCUGAGGUGCGAAAGUGUGGGGAGCAAACAGGAUUAGAUACCCUGGUAGUCCACACCGUAAACGAUGAAUGCCAGUCGUCGGGCAGUAUACUGUUCGGUGACACACCUAACGGAUUAAGCA
rnacentral:rRNA from 1 species